AUGUGGGUGUAGUUAGAGUCUUUUUCUUCUUCUCUCUCCAAAUCCUCCAAGGUCUGGAGCAAGGGGACAUGAAAAGCAAUUACAGAAGUUUCUGUGCAGUGAUAGGUAGAACAAGAGAAAGGAGAGAAAAAUCCAUGAGCUAGAUAAUAGACGGGGGUUUUCUAAGAACGAGAGAGUGUGAGAGAGGAGGGGAAAGAGAUGGAUGGAGUGACAGAAUGCAGUAGUGCAGUGACAGAAAGAGAUGAACAGACUGGGAGAAAAAGAGGAGUGGAGGCACACAGACAGACCUGCACUCCAAUCUCAUUAUAGGUCGUGGGGUGAGCCAGGGAUGCAGCUUGAGCCCCACCCUCUUCAACAUAUAUAGCAUAUCAACGAAUUGGCGAGGGCACUAGAAAGGUCUGCAGCACCCGGCCUCACCCUACUAGAAUCUGAAGUCAAAUGUCUACUGUUUGCUAAUGAUCUGGUUCUUCUGUCCCCAACCAAGGAGGGUCUACAGCAGCACUUAGAUAUUCUGCACAGAUUCUGUCAGACCUGGGCCCUGAUAGACCUGGGCCCUGACAGACCUGGGCCCUGACAGACCUGGGCCCUGACAGACCUGGGCCCUGACAGACCUGGGCCCUGACAGUACAAGAGAUAAUGGUGUUCCAAAAAAGGUCCAGUUGCCAGGACCACAAAUACAAAUUCCAUCUAGACACCGUUACCUUAGAGCACACAAAAAAACGAUACAUACCUCAGCCUAAACAUCAGUGCCACAGGUAACUUCCACAAUCUACACCAUCAAAAGGAAUGUAAAAUUCUACAUACCAGCUAUUUUCUGGCUAAAACUACUUGAAUCAGUUAUAGAACCCUUCACCAAAAAAUGGGACCAACACCGAAUUGAGACUCUGCAUGCCGAAUUCUGCAAAAAUAUCAUAACAUAUAACACCAAAUAAUGCAUGCAGAGCAGAAUUAGACCGAUACCAGCUAAUUAUCAAAAUCCAGAAAAAGAGACGUAAAAAUUCUACAACCACCUAAAAGGAAGUGAUUACCAAACCUUCCAAAACCAAGCCAUCACCUACAGAGAAAUGAACCUGGAGAAGAUUCCCCUAAGUAAGCUGGUUCUGGGGCUCUGUUCACAAUCAGAACCCCACAGAGCCCCAAUACAGCAACACAAUUAGACCCAACCAAAUCAUGAGAAAACAAAAAGAUAAUUACUUAAAACAAAGGGAAAAAACCCCACAAAAACAGAGCAAGCUAGAAUGCUAAUUAGCCCUAAACAGAUCAAUCAAAUCAUCAAAUGUAUUUAUAAAGCCCUUCUUACAUCAGCUGAUGUCACAAAGUGCUGUACAGAAACGCAUUCUAAAACCCCAAACAGCAAGCAAUGCAGGUGUAGAAGCACGGUGGCUAGGAAAAACUCCCUAGAAAGGCCAAAACCUAGGAAGAAGCCUAGAGAGGAACCAGGCUAUGAGGGGUGGCCAGUCCUCUUCUGGCUGUGCCGGGUGGAGAUUAU
rnacentral:lncRNA from 1 species